UACAGCUGAAAAAAGUGGCCAAAAAUGGAUGAAAAGUUAAGACUUUUUAUCCAUUUUUGGCCACUUUUUUCGGCUUUG